ensembl:lncRNA
AAUACAGAAGGCAGCUCUGAAUCAACCAACAGGGACCUGAAUUUGGAGUGACCACAAAGACUGGCAGCAAUGACCUAACCAGACUGUUCCGACAGAGUAUCCUUGUUUGUGGUCCCCUUGCAUCCUGCUGGUUUUCCAAGCUUGAUUUUCGGCCUUCAAGGGGACACUGGUUCCAUCCCUGGUCUGGGAGGAUUCUACAUUCCACGGGGCAACUAAGCUCGUGUGCUACCACCACUGGAGCCUGGGAGAGCCCACGGCCGCAGCGAGAGAGGCCACUACAGCGAGAAGCCUGUGCACCACAACCAAAGAGCAGCCCCUCACUCCACAACUAGAGAACACCCUCAUGCAGCAAUGAAGACCCAGUGCAGCCAAAUAAAUAAAUACUAAACAG